CAUUUUUCAAUUUUCCAACCAAACACAUUUCUCAAAUUUUGUAUUCAUUUUCUUCAAUAUUUGGCUCCAUCAAUCAAUUUCCAGCAAGCUUAAUGCGCCCAGGAGUUUUUGGUGUGCUGGGAGGGUUUUCUUGUUAGAUCUUAUACAUGUUCGUGAUUGGAGGGUGUUUUAGUGCUAUGCACUUGUAUGGUGUGUUGGGUUGGAAGUUGUGUUAUUACUCACAAUGGGGUUUCAUUUAUGUUAUGGCACUCAUGUGUAACUUGAUGUGUUUAGGAGUAUCAUGUAUCCAAGAUUUUCAUGCUUGAUUAAUAAAGGCUACAAUCUAACUAUGUUAUAAUAAAAUUGAAUGUUGUGUAUGAGCAAAGUAUUUGGUAAUAAGUAUGAGUAGUAGUCUUUGAAAAUUAUGAGAAUAAAUGAUUCGUGGCGUAAAUGAUUAAGAAAAUUAUAAAAAUGUUGUAAUUUGUGGUCUGAAUUCAUGUCGUAAUGAUUAUAUGUUGUUGAAUUUAAGCUUAGUAUGCUUUUAUUAUCUAACAUGUUCCGUGCACAAGUCUCUGUUGAUUUGAUUCGGAUCGUGUGUUGGCUCCACCUCCGAGGAAUUUCAGGUGUUCAAUUUCCAUUUGUAAUGUCUCUUUAUGUUUUAGUUGUAUUGAUAUUUGGACUUUUUUUUUUUGUUAAGUUAAUUUUGGUCUUGUGUAGAGCUAACAGAACAGGUAAUAAAUUUGAGUCUGAGAUUGAUCUAGAGAUAAAUUUGACCCAAAGUCUGGAAAAAUAUAAAUUUAUAAUUAAACCGACAUAUUAAUAAUUAAUAUAAAUAAAGAAUAUGAUAUUACUUAAAAUAUAAAUAAAUAAUAAUUAGUUAUUUUUUGAAAAUGUAUUCAUAAACUAGAGUUGGAUGCCACUACCAUUUGGCUCCAUUAAUUCAUUCACAAUCGUAAUUGUGAAGUGAAGGUAUGGUUUUAGUUUUAGGCACCUCUGACUUUAAUUAAAUUGUCAAAGCUUCCUAUAAUGUCUCUGUUUGUGGGAGAUGUGCUUGUAAAUAUGUUUGUAUUUUUAUAUGCUACUCAUACAUUACCAACAGUAGGAAAAGCAUAUAUAUAUAUAUAUAUAUAUAUUUUGGACAAGAGUUUCAUUCAUAACAAACUUAAAUUUCAUUUUCCAUUACCAGACAACAUUUAAAAAAAAAAAAACCCAGAAAACCUAGAGCUGGUCCUUCAAAGUAAACCAUUAAUGCUAAUUACCAAGCUUAUCAGUAAUCCUUAGACUCCUUCGCCAAGCUUAUGCUCCUGUUCAACUUCUCACGCUUGGCUGCAACAACAGGUGACUCCUCCACAAUAUGCUGGAAGCCACUACCAUUUGGCCCCAUUCACACUUCAAUGUCAGAUUAUGGAUUGCUCUUUUGCUCGAUGCCUGAAGCUUAGGAUAGUUCUCGGAAUGAUUCAUCAACACAUUUAUAACAACAUCCUCCGAAUAUUCCCACACCUCGCUCAUGAAUACAACUGGCUUGCUGGAAAUUUCUCUCACUUUCUCCUACAGAAUAGUUAAGAAUGCUGUUCUUGGAAGAAAAUUUGGCAGAAUAAUACCUUUAGCUUCCUCCAAAACGAGUAUUUCAUCCAUCAAAAAGUUUGUUGAGAAUGAUAAGUUAUAUUGGGAACCUUUCUGAAGAUCAUCAGAGAAAUUGUUGAGCAUUUCAGCUAGCCUAGCUGUGCAGUGCAUCCUUUUCUCAUCCAGAUAUUCUUCAAAUUCUCCGUUAACAAGGAUUUUCUGCAUCGACUCCUUAGCUGCGCCAAUAAUCUGAAUAAACCCCGUCAUUGCCUCCGCUGGGGAAGACGAACACAUUGGCAUUUUCUUUAGCUCCGAGAUGAUGUGAUUCAAUUUUUCAGUAAUUUUUCGUACGAUCUCUGGCGAACAUUUUGAUAUUAUUGUAGCUUGAAUUUGAACAAGCUUCUGAGCCAAUACUGGUAUUCCCACAAAAGAGGAUGUGAUUGAAACAGCCUUGCUUCUUCGAUUCUUGCUUCCUCGUAUGACUCAUCACCAAUACGGUUGCACACAUAUAUAUAACCGAGCCCUAUGUUAACACCAUCAGCUGUAACUUUCUCUAGCAAUCCUUAAGGUGAUUUAUCGGCUUUCGUUACGACAGCAAGUGUAUGGACCACCGUCUUGUCUACUUGCCGGGAAUCCUAAUGGACUCACAUGUUGAAAAAUCAACAGAUGCGGAUAAAACAUUGACGAUAAUGCUUUCCUCAGGCUUGAUAUAGUCCAUGAUGAUAUCUCUAAUUUGCUCAUAGAUAUUUUCAGGCUGCCCAUGAACUGGGACUCGAGUGAAACCAGGUAGAUCAACCAUUGUUAAAUCAGGAACUAUAUUCUUUUUAACAACCAGGGUCAAUCUCAUUGGUCGCUUCCACUAUAGCAUUGGCAAUGUCUUCUUCAUCCGUGGAGACAGUUCUACCAUUGAACUCCAACGAAAACUCCGGUGCCGAUGCCUAAUGAUUUUGAAGCCUCAUUAUGAGAGGAACUCUAGUGCAUAUCCCCUGUACCCUGGGAAGGUUAAUACCUACAAGAGAUUCAAGUACACUGGAUUUCCCUGAAGAUUGAUCACCAACCACAACAAUGGUGGAUAGUUGAAUCCCUCCUUUCAUCACCGUCAAAUUCCUAAGUUUUUCCACGACAUCCAAGAGAGGUCAAAUCCGAUCAUCAUGAGAGGAAACAAUAGGUGCACUGAUAACUUCCAAUUGUUGAGCAGGUAUCACAGCAGGAGUGUCUUGAACAUCGUCGUUCAUGGCUCUGACAACUAAAGCCCUAUUGUCUUUGCCUUUUGCAGAAAAACCGAUUCUUUUAUUCAUUUCUUUCGAGUGAAUGAUCAAAAUGAUAAAGAGAGUAGAAGUGACAGAUUGAAAAAAGAGAAAAGAAUUGUAGUGUACUUAUAAGAAGUUCGUUCUAGAUUUAUUGUAGUAAGAGAGAUGAAAUAAUUUAUUUAUAUAUAAACUAGUUUAUACACAAUAUAUAAAAAGUACCAUUUAUACA